rnacentral:rRNA from 1 species
UACGAAGGGUGCAAGCGUUACUCGGAAUUACUGGGCGUAAAGCGUGCGUAGGUGGUGAGUUAAGUCUGAUGUGAAAUCCCCGGGCUCAACCUGGGAAUUGCAUUUGAGACUGCGUAGCUAGGGUGCGGAAGAGGGAAGCGGAAUUUCCGGUGUAGCGGUGAAAUGCGUAGAUAUCGGAAGGAACACCAGUGGCGAAAGCGGCUUCCUGGUCCAGCACCGACGUUCAGGCACGAAAGCGUGGGGAGCAAACAGG